rnacentral:rRNA from 1 species
GACCAGACUCCUACGGGAGGCAGCAGUGGGGAAUAUUGCACAAUGGGGGAAACCCUGAUGCAGCGACGCCGCGUGAGCGAUGAAGUAUUUCGGUAUGUAAAGCUCUCUCAGCAGGGAAGAAAAUGACGGUACCUGACUAAGAAGCCCCGGCUAACUACGUGCCAGCAGCCGCGGUAAUACGUAGGGGGCAAGCGUUAUCCGGAUUUACUGGGUGUAAAGGGAGCGUAGACGGCAAUGCAAGCCAGAUGUGAAAGCCCGGGGCUCAACCCCGGGACUGCAUUUGGAACUGUGUAGCUGGAGUGUCGGAGAGGCAGGCGGAAUUCCUAGUGUAGCGGUGAAAUGCGUAGAUAUUAGGAGGAACACCAGUGGCGAAGGCGGCCUGCUGGACGAUGACUGACGUUGAGGCUCGAAAGCGUGGGGAGCAAACAGGAUUAGAUACCCUGGUAC